GUUAUAAAACAGUGCCAAUGUUUUCAUGAAGGGGAGUAAGACUUGUGGUAUAAUAUAUCUUAAAUACAAGCUAGCAAUGAUUACUGCAUUUUAGUAUGAAUAGAGUUUUAGAAUUAUUAUUGGAGUGGACUUUUGAGGUUAGCAUUACAGCUUGUCUGUGCAUAUUGAUGUUGGAAAUGGCUAUAUGAAUGGACUUUUAAAAAUAUUAAUUACUGUGGCUGAAGGAUAUAAAUGUGUGAUUAUUUCUCCAUACUCCUAAAUUAGAGACGUUGUGAAGAUUCUUAACACGUUGACAGCUGGGCUCUCUCUCUUCAGAAGACAUAAGAUUUAAAUCCACAUUCUGACACUGACAUGACUGCAAAUCUGUAUAUCCUGCCUGAGUAUCCUGCACUACCAAACAGAUGCCUUACUUUUACAUGUAUUUUACUGCAAGUCUGAAGAUUAUAGACCAAGAGUGACCAUAUUUCUUUUUGGGUCUUUCUAACUGUACCAAACAGUUUCCAAUAUAAACGGACCAUAUAAAUCUUGCAUAAAUAAGAGAAAGAAUGUAGUAAAAUAAUUAAUGUAAAGAUUCUCCAUUUUCUACAAGAGUGGAAGUUUAAAUUAUUAAAGGUUAAUGUAUUGUGUUUUGAAUUUUCACUCAACUUUAUUUCUCUCUCCACCAUUAAAUGCUUUUGAUUUAUAUUACUUGUUGCUCUUCAUAUAAAAUGGUUUUUAAUAUCAAGUUAACAUUUACAUUAAUUGGUUAGGAAUGGAGAAUCUAAAGAUAACAAAAUUUAAGUAUAGCAAUGGUUUUAUAUGGAUAUAUAUGUAUAAUGAUACAUUCAAGAGAUUGCUUGUAGCAAUAUAUGAGUAAUCCUUAUUUACUACCAGUCACGGACAUUUCCUGACUAAAUAUCAAGUCUAUUGCUACAGGUACUUGACUCAGUUGUAAUUGAUCAUAAGUCUAACAGGGUCAAGGGGAGGUAAAGCCUCAUACUUUAAGUUUCUUAAGUGUUGACCAAUAUUAAACUUAGACAUUCUCUUCUUCAUUUUUUAGUAUUUUGUUAGUAAAUUGACUAAGGUUGUUUUGUCAAAAAAUAAAAGCAGAAGCAUAGUUUUAUUUCCAAAGAUAGUGAUCAAAAGCAAAACUUGGUAUUCAAUUUUUUGUAUCUCACUGAUAAUAUUUGACCAGUAACAGCUUAAAAACCUUCCUUUCUAAUGUUAUGAAAAAUAGAAAUGAGAACAUAAUUAUCUUUUUGAUUAAGAAAAAAAAAAAUUUUAUUUCUUCUUUCCACAUUUUAUUGGUAAAUUUAUUUGAGUUUUUACUGCAAACUUCACACGGCAGUAGCAUGGGCAAACUUUGGGGUUCUGUAUAAAUUAAUCCUUUCAAAAGUUUUUAUUGCUGUUUUUACAAGUUGUGUAGUGUACAUGUGUUCAUUAUUUCUACUUGCAUCAUAUACAUGUUUUUUAAUGGAUUACACUGUAAAACUAUUGUAAUUUGAGCACUACCAGAGUAAAUGAACUGUUUUACAAAGCAUUUAUUUAAUUUUUCAUUCAUUGAGUUACCCCAAGUCCAAAAAAUUGUAGAAUAUUGAUGAAACAUUUUACUUUCAAGGAAUGUAAAAUAAAAGUUUGUGUAAAACAAUCAUUUGUGUACUUAAUGUAAUGUAAAAUUUUGUAUUUUAUUGAAUUCACAUGAAACUUUUUUCUUCUCCUGUAAGAUAGUUAAUGGUUCAAAUAUAUGCCUGUUGAGAAUAAGAUUACAUGAAAGUUAUCAGAAUUUCCACUAAAAAAUAAAAAUAAGAUUUGCAUCAAAGUACACUGUCUGCAAAAAAAGUUCAAUGCAAAAGUCUUAUUGUACUCAGACUUUUUGUAUCAUGUCAAUUAAGCAUAGAAAUAACCAAAAAGAAACAAUUUUUUCUUUCCUAAAGCUUCUAUAUGCACUUUUAUAUGUAAAUAUGUGUUACAGCCUAUAUUGACCUGAACUUAUUUUUAGUCAUGCAUCGCCUUGGACCAUUUUCUAACUGUGUGGUAUGCUGUGUAACUUUUCCAUCCAGAAAGAAUUAUUGAUGGCAAAAUUGCUUUUAAUUUGGUGGACAAAAUUAGAAUUGUUUAGAAGCACCCCUAUUUUAUAUAAAACAUGUACAUAAAAUAACAAGCCCCCUAGCUGUUAAUAUAUGGUGAAAUGGGAUAAAAUCAACUUGGUUAUCAGAAUUUGUGAUUAUCUCCUCUUAAUAAAAAGAAGUUAUGCCAGUGUAGGAAUUUUACAGGAAAAUUUUUGUCCCAAUUCUUUAGAUAGGCCUAAAUCAAACUCCUUGUUUUAAACUAAGCAGAACAGUAAUAUGCUGGUCAAUGUCCCAUGUCCUCUGCAAAUUGGAUAACUGUAAAGAAAGUCUUUAAAUGAUAAACAAUUGUUUCUUUGAUCCAAAAAAUUGAAUAUAAGGGGUAGGGGUAUACACUAAUCAACUUAUGCAAAGGCUGUCAGAUUUGAUUUCAGUAAAUGUCAAUAAAUUGGCUUUCAUUUUUAUGAUUGAAAAAUAAGGGGAGAUAAUUUUGACUUAGAAGAAUCCUGACUGCAAAAGUAGUAGGAAUGAAAAUUUCCAUCUCCCAAGUGAUAAUGUGUUCUUCACAAUUUGUCACCAUAAGAAGAAAUUACAAAUAGAGAGUGAGUGAAGGUAUGACAGUAAACUGGAUUAAGAAUGUUGAAUAAAAUAUGUUUUUGCAAAUUUGGACGACAAUUAAUUGCAAUUAUGUACCAUUUCAACAAUAGAAGUAGUAUUGACUUGCAAAUCCAUACCAUUACAGCACUGGAAGUAGUAUGGUUGUCUGAGCGAAGCCAAUUGGAAGUAUGUACCUCUUAGUGAAGCUAAUUGGGAGCACACCCUCUGUCUUGUUGCGAAGCUGAUUGGAAGCAGUACAUAUAAACCUCUGUCUGCUAAAGCUAGUUAGAAGCAGUACCCCUGGCAGAGAGGUCCCAAUUUAGAAGUAUGUAACUCUGAGGGAAGCCAAUUGGAAGCAUGUACCUCUGCAAAAUUUGAUUAGAAAUUAUUCAACAAAUUUUAUUUAACAUUCUUUUUAAAGUUUACUUGCAUACCAACUCUCAUUUUCUAUUUAUAAUUACUCCCCUUGACAUUGUGACGUGCAAAUUAUCACUUCACCAUUUAGUAGAUCAUUCUAAUAAAUUACUACAACACGCGAUCAAGUAUUGUUAUAAGGGUAAAAUACUUUAAUAAUUUUAGUUUAUGCACCUUUAAAUGAUAACUUAACUUGCUGUAACUUUUUGAAAGCUAAGGUUCCUCAAGAUCUAUACAGAGAAUGAUUUAAGUUUGCUGUGAAGGGCAUACGAUACAGUAACAGGGGAGAUAAUGACAUUGCUACUGUCUAAUGUUACUUUUAGCCAUGUCAAAUAUUUAUAUAUCAGGAAAAGACCCAUUUUUUGACUGAUUUAACAUGAAAAUGAAUUCAUUGACCUCUUUUUUUAAAAAUUACAUCAGGCUUGAAUCUGUUUAAAGAUCAUGUAUGCCAAUUUAAAGAAAUCACCAGUAUAUAGCUGCAUACUAGGAAUUGGUAUUUGUUUACUUGACAAAAAGAGGAUUUUUAUUUUCAGUCGGUCAUGUAUAAAAAAAUAGAUUUCCAGAAAGUUGGCUUCUGUGUCUUGAACUUCUUUUCUUUACACUUCUAAACCCCAACCAAAAAGAUACACUAGUUUUCUCUGCCAAUUAAAAGUGCUGUGUUUACAAACAAUUCAAAAGUUUUGCUUUUUCUGUUAUUGUUUGGAUAUUAAAUACUCUUUUAUUACUUUGGUAGAAACAAAUCAUCACAAUUUCAAUAUCUCAAAACGGACAUCAUGAGGGCUCCCCUGUGAGAAUGUGGGAGCCCUACAGUUUUCACUUUGUUCGUCUGUCAACAAUUUUUGUAAAUACAAAACCUCCCCAAAAAUAGAUAGGUAAAUUAAAGUUAUCUUUAAUAUUCUCUGUGCUUCCAAGCACUUGGAUUACCAUUCUAGGGUUAUGCCUUUACAAAUGGAAAAAUUCCUGAAUGUUUUCGUUUCUGUUCUCUUAAUUUAAGUUUGCCUUAACUUAAUUUUAUGAAAUGUAUAUAUUAUGCUUAUUACCACUUAACUCAGUUUGAGUUCAAAUUUUGACAUCUUCACUUUUAUGGUUCUUGAGUUAUGUCCCUUUAUAACAUUAUAAGCUAGCAGGGGCAUCACCUCUGUCCCUAUGGUCGCAUUGACACCAUUUAUUUUUAUAUAGUGGAAGCAGAUUAGUUGUUAUUUAGGUAUUUAGUAGCAUGAUGCCUUAUAAUUAAAUUUUGCUCGUGUUUCAUAGAAUUAUGCUUGGAAAUAUUUUGAAAACCUUCACUUUCUUCCCAGAGUGUCAAGUUUCAUGAUCAUGUGUUUUGUUUUGAAUAGUUCUCUCCUUUAUUAUAGUGUCCAAAGUAUACCUCUUGAGACAGUUCCUCCAAAUAAAUAGUUUCAAAACAUUUUUCCACUUCAUAUUGAUUUUAUCUGGUUUUAAAUGAGUGUUUUGCAAAUCAAAAGUGUCCAGUGUUACUUCAUUAAUUAUCAUUAUAAUGAUUUUCUUUAUGUGUAUAUGUUUAGUUGUUGUUGUAUUCAUGUAUAUUGUAUGUAUAAUAAUUCCCUAAUCAUAAAAGUAUAACAGGAAUUGAUUGUCUUCUUGCGUAUGUGUAAUACAUGUACAUGUAGGCAUAGGAAUUUUAGCAGCUAAAUAAUUUAGUUGUAAAUUUAAAGUGACAUCUUUAUGUAUUUUAGUUCUAACUUGAACUUUGAACAUUGUAUUGUUAUGGAUGUUGAAAGAACAAAGAAUUGUAUAAUUUUGUAUUUUGAUAUUAAAUUAAUUUCUAUGUAGGUGGAAUGGCUAUUAUAUAUACAAACAUAAUCGUAUUUUAACUUUUGUACCAUGUAUUUUAUAGUUGUAGUCCUCAAGACAAGAUUUCAUUUUUACUUACAUUUACAAACAAAACAAAACAAUAUAUACGUCCGAGUAUGUCUCGUGAGACGACUUGUCGCAUUCAAAGGGUCGGAGCAUAUAUGACGGUUUCCAGACCCUUGGGUCGGACCCAGGUUUCCAGUUUCCCAUUAUUGGGUUUGUUUGGUUGUUCCUGGCCGGCGAGGUCGUUCAUGAUCGAGUUAUUUAUUUGUUCAGUUAUCCAGUUUACAUUCAUGUCAACCAUAUUAUAUCUCUUGUUUGUACAAGGUUUACUUUUUCUAGCUAAAUUGUACCUUAUAGUAUAUUUCAAGUAUAUUUCAAGGUUUUUAUUAUUAGGAAUAAAUGUGGUUAUUGUUUUUGUUCAUAUAUUUAUAUAUUAAGACACAUGUAUGUAAUUAUUUGAUAAAUUUCGUUGUCCACUAUGCUUGCUGGGCUAUCGGCAACACUAUAUAUAUUGUAUUCAUUUAUGCCUUAUAAUAGAUAUGAGCGUAUAGGGUAUACAUAUAGUUAUUCAAAUGCAUAAGGUUGACUUAAGAUUAUUUCUCUAGUACUGAUACAAGUUAUUGAAUUCAUAUUGUAUAAUGUAUGUUUAUAUUGAUAAUUUGUCUUAUAAAAUGGCAGCUCACAAUAUGCUGUACUUGAGCUAGUCAACAAACAUAA